UUUGUUUCUCUUCGUAGAGAGGUCGAGAAGAAGACACUGCUUUCAGCGAGAAGACAGAACUCACGAUGAAGCUCGUUGCUGUUCUUUGCCUUGUUUUCUGUUUGGUUUGUAUCAUUGCAGGUGAAAAGAGUUCCAGCGAUGCGCCUUUACGAGAAUGCAACGAUAGGGAAAAGGCGUCGGAAGAUUGCCCAGCUGGGUUCGUAUGUAUGGCUGUUGUUGGGAAGAGGAG